AUGUUCUGGAAGCUUGAGAAAUUGAAGGCGGCGCUAGAGGUGCUUGACAAGUUCAGUGAGUUUGGCUGUACCUCAGACGGUGAUAGCUAUUAUCUGGCGAUUCAAGCGGCUGGAAAGAAGUCCAUGGUUGGUGCUGCAUGGGGAGUUUGUGAGAAGAUGAUUAGCUCUGGGUGCUUUGCUGAUGGGAAGAAGGCCGGUGAGAUUGUGACCUUCUUUUGCAAGGGGAAGAAGGUGACGGAGGCACAUUCAGUAUACCUAGCAGUGAAGGAGAAGAAGGAUUGUCUAAAGAGGGAGAAAUGGAGGAACGCAAAGGAUAUGAUUAGGGUGAUGGAGAGGCGAGGGUUGCGCCCUCAUGUUUAUACAUACAGCAUGAUCAUGAGUGGCUACGCAAAGGGAGGCAUGAUUGAUGAAGCCCAUUAUCACAUACUGAUCUGUGGUUACUGCAAGAUGGAGGAGUUUGAGAAGGCCCCGGAGUGCCUAAAGGAGAUGAAGGAGGAUGGGGUACAGCCAAAUGUAGAUGAGUAUAACAAACUCAUCCAGUCGUUAUGUCUGAAGGCUAUGGACUGGAGAAUAGCUGAGAAGCUCCUGGAGGAAAUGGAGGGCAGUGGACUAUACCUUAAGGGCAUUACCCGCAGCCUCAUAGCAGCAGUCAAGGAAUUGGAAAUGGAAGAGAUGUCAAAAGACAGCCAAGAAGCAUAG
rnacentral:rRNA from 1 species